CCCGAGAUAGUGAUGGUGGCUCCGUAGAGCAGUGCGGUUCUUGCGCUGUCCGGUGCGCUAACGUCGGCCCUUGAAAAUCCGAGUGAGGGAGUGUGAUUUUCGUGCCGGACCGUACCCACAUCCGCAGCAGGUCUCCAAGGUGAACAGCCUCUAGUCGAUGGACCAAUGUAGGUAAGGGAAGUCGGCAAAACGGAUCCGUAACCUUGGGAUAAGGAUUGGCUCUGAGGACUGAGCCGGUCGGGCUGGGGACCUGAAGCAGGAACGGCACUGCACCGGGACUGGGCGGGGCUCGCCGUUCACGCGGCGCGGCCAAGCCCGGACCAGCGUCGGGACCUUCCUGUGGAAAGCCUCAGCUGCGCGGCGUCCGAGGGCUUCGUGCCCAAAGUGCUAUGCUUCGGCCGGCAAAAAACAGUCAACUCAGAACUGGCACGGACCGGGGGAAUCCGACUGUCUAAUUAAAACAAAGCAUUGCGAUGGCCGCUGGUCGGUGUUGACGCAAUGUGAUUUCUGCCCAGUGCUCUGAAUGUCAACGUGAAGAGAUUCAUCAAAGCGCGGGUAAACGGCGGGAGUAACUAUGACUCUCUUGCCAAACUCGACGACUAUCUCCGGCACGUCUUCGUGUGUGACAAGGGUCCAAGUCAUGGUCGCGCUGGGGACCGUCAGGCAAAGGGGCCGACGAGU
rnacentral:ncRNA from 1 species